UACGGGGGGGGCAAGCGUUGUUCGGAAUUACUGGGCGUAAAGGGCUCGUAGGCGGCCAACUAAGUCAGACGUGAAAUCCUUCGGCUUAACCGGGGAACUGCAUCUGAUACUGGAUGGCUUGAGUUCGGGAGAGGGAUGUGGAAUUCCAGGUGUAGCGGUGAAAUGCGUAGAUAUCUGGAGGAACACCGGUGGCGAAGGCGGCAUCCUGGACCGACACUGACGCUGAUGCACGAAAGCUAGGGGAGCAAACAGG
rnacentral:rRNA from 1 species